UACGGGGGGGGCAAGCGUUGUUCGGAAUUACUGGGCGUAAAGGGCGCGUAGGCGGGAUGGCAAGUCGGUCGUGAAAUCCCUCGGCUCAACUGAGGAUCGUCGAUCGAUACUGCCGUUCUUGAGGAUUGCAGAGGAGACUGGAAUUCCCGGUGUAGCGGUGAAAUGUGUAGAGAUCGGGAGGAACACCGGUGGCGAAGGCGGGUCUCUGGGCAAUUCCUGACGCUGAGGCGCGAAAGCGUGGGGAGCAAACGGG
rnacentral:rRNA from 1 species